rnacentral:rRNA from 1 species
GUUAUGUCUGUGCCGGGUGGCGGGUUAAUCCAGAGGGUGUGGUGGGUAAUCGGCUUUACCUGGCGUAAAGCGUUCGUUGGCGGCUUUUUUAGGCGGAUGUGUAAUGCCCGAUCUUAGCUUGGGAAUUGCAUUCGAUACUGGGAAGCUAGAGUAUGGGAGAGGAUGGUAGAAUUCCAGGUGUAGCGGUGAAAUGCGUAGAGAUCUGGAGGAAUACCGAUGGCGAAGGUAGCCAUCUGGCCUAAUACUGACGCUGAGGUACGAAAGCAUGGGGAGCAAACAGGAUUAGAUACCCCGGUAGUC